rnacentral:misc_RNA from 1 species
GCGGGAGCACCCGAUGGUGCACGAUGGCGAAAACACCCAGAGGCACAAAGAGUCGGUCGUUCCUGUACACCAGAGCAGAAACGGACGCAAACAGCCCGCAGGACAAUGCAACCGGGUUCUAUCUGUGCUCUUUGUUCUUUCCGAUCAGCUACUGCCAGCCACCCAACGUUGCUUCCACUUCUCUUCCACCAGGAAGCGGACAACCAUCGCACUGCCACAUGUUUUGUCGUUUUUCAUGCAAACAGGAAGUUCACUGAUAUCCUUUGUGGGUUGUAAGUCAAUUCACGAUGAUGUAAUAAGAAGGAGAGGAACGUCGUUUUUGUUGCUUUGCGAAAGAUUUGUUGUUUACGACGGAUAGGUGACACGACAGAUUUUUGUGACACUCGCAGAGGUGACACUCUGCGGUAAAAAUUAAGUGGUAAAAUAAGUUAGUAAAAUAUUUCGUACUUUAUGUCAUUUGUACUCUGAUAAUGGACGACGAUUUGUUCAGUACAAUAGAGAUGGCUACAUAUUUUCUGCGUGUCAAUGGAAGUUUGUUUUUUGGAACACUCGAGUUACACCAUAGGGGAGAAGGCAAGUGACGUUUUAUUUGAGAACGAAUGUUGAUGGUUUCAUAGGAGUCUCUAAAACGAAGAGGAAAUCGGGAUCAGAUGGGGAUAAAGUCAUCACCGGUGGAGCGAAACAGCAGCCCCAGCAGGGCCGUUGGUUCGGAAACAAUCACAUUAUGCUUUGUACAUCGAGCUCUCUGUCUAUCCCUUCCACGAUACCACCCUUGUUUUGGGGUGGGCCAACGUAAUGUAAUGAUUCUUUAUUCCUUUAAGCUGGAAGGACUAAUGACUGCUGGACCCUUAAUGCAUUAAUUAAGUCACUUUCAACUCAAGGAUAUUAUACAGGGUGACCUUUAAUCGCGUUGUAUUCAAUUUCAAUGCGAGAGAAGAUGGGCCAGGGGUCAUUAAGCCUAGUAUUAUAAAUGCAUUAGAUACUGGAAGACGAUGGGAUGAGUCAGAAUCCGCAGGAACGGGAAGCUGGAUUUCGGGAGGGUGGCAGGUGGCGCCAAUUUUACGGACCGACGGCUGUGACGGAUGUAACGAGACGCAGUUCUGUGCGAGCGUUCGUCACACGUGGUCGCUUCGCUGGGCACGAUGUCAUGGCUGAUUUUAUGGGAAACGGGGGUGGAUGCUUCGUUCGCGAGAUCAAAAAUCAUCCCCUUUGGCGCUGAACCGAGGAACUAGUGCACGUUUAAUGAGAUUGAGAAGAAAAUAUCCCAGUAUGGUGAAUAUUCGAAAUCAGUUCUAUAUUCGCAAUGAUGAAUAUCCGGUAAAUUUCGCGGUUACUUAUGUAUAAUUGUUUAUUAUUAAAUGAUACUCUUCAGAGAUAGAAUAAUUAUUAGUCGGUUGAAGGUAAUUUCAUUCUCGUCAUUUCUUUGGAUAAGGAUGUUAACAAUUUUCAAUUGCAUAAGUAUGUGGUUCCGAAGGUUGGGCGCAAUUCUGUGGUUGAUAGUCGAUCGAUAACAGGAAUUUGUAUAAUCAGUAAUACGAUAACCAACGUCCCGCUGUGAAAAUCAGGAACGGAACAUCAGAUGUUGAUCUUCCAGCCGUGUUUCAUUACCAUCGUAGCAACGAAGCUUGUAAUAUAUAUGAUUAAUUUAUAUUUUAUGUAAUAUGUAUGAUUUUACUAGGCGUUACAAAAAAUCGAGAUAAAUAUCCGUUUUAUCUGAUGUUCUUUCUGAAUUUUUGAAAUGCUUUCAAGUACAGAUGCUUGGGUUGAUAAACUUCAACUUCGCACGAUAAAAUCAAUAAAAAAUUCCCAGUUCAUAUCCAAUUAAAUCUCUCGCUAAAAUAUUAAACAUUGCUUGUGUUAAAGAGGUCUUUAAAAGUAUAAGAAGAUAUUCUCACGCACCAAAUUUAUUACCAGAUCUACAUCCGCC